GGCCGGGGGCGGUGGCCCGGCUGGGCGCGCUCCGCUCCUGAGGUGUGAGCGUUUGGAACUAGCCUGCUCGGCUGGCGGCUGCGGUAGAGAGGCGUUCGGGUCGGUAUGUCCGAGCUGUCCACCGUUGCAGAGCAGGAACGCCAGGAGCAGAGCGCGCCGGACGGGCGGCGCGCAGGCUUCGUACUGGGGCUGGACGUGGGCAGCUCAGUGAUUCGCUGCCACGUCUAUGACCGCGCGGCGCGGAUCUGCGGUUCCAGCGCGCAGAAGGUAGAAAGUCUUUAUCCUCAAACUGGCUGGGUUGAAAUUGAUCCUGAUGUUCUCUGGAUUCAAUUUGUUGCUGUAAUAAAAGAAUCUGUCAAAGCUGCAGGAAUAGAGAUGAAUCAAAUUGUCGGUCUUGGCAUUUCAACACAGAGAGGAACCUUUCUUACGUGGGACAAGAAAACAGGAAAACAUUUCCACAACUUCAUUAGUUGGCAAGACCUAAGAGCUGUUGAACUUGUAAAAUCUUGGAAUAGUUCUCUUUUAAUGAAGCUCAUACACAGUUCCUGCCGAGUGCUGCACUUUUUCACUAGAAGUAAACGAUUUUUAGCAGCCAGUUUGUUCACUUUCACAACCCAGCAUGUUUCUUUGAGAUUGGCCUGGAUUUUGCAGAACUUGACAGAGGUACAAAAGGCCAUUCAAGAAGAAAAUUGCUGCUUUGGGACUGUUGAUACCUGGUUGUUACAUAAACUUACAAAAGGUUCUGAAUUUGCCACGGACUUUUCAAAUGCCAGUACAACGGGACUUUUUGACCCAUAUGAGAUGUGUUGGAGCAAGCUCAUUACCUCCCUGCUUUCCAUACCGCUCUCUCUCCUGCCUCCCGUCAGGGAUACGAGCCACAAUUAUGGAUCCGUGGAUGAAGAGAUAUUUGGUGUGCCUAUACCAAUAGUGGCCUUGGUCGCUGACCAGCAAUCAGCCAUGUUUGGAGAAUGCUGCUUCCAGACAGGAGAUGUGAAGUUAACCAUGGGAAGUGGGACAUUUUUGGAUAUUAAUACUGGAAAUAACCCUCACCAGAGUGUAGGGGGCUUUUACCCAUUAAUUGGGUGGAAGAUUGGGCAAGAAGUUGUAUGCUUAGCUGAAGGCAAUGCAGGAGAUACUGGUACUGCCAUACAAUGGGCUCAAAAGUUAGGUCUGUUCACAGAUGCUGCUGAAACUGAAAAAAUGGCCAGAAGUUUGGAAGAUUCUGAAGUUUAUUUUGUCCCAUCUUUUAGUGGAUUGCAGGCUCCAUUAAAUGACCCCUGCGCAUGUGCCUCUUUUAUGGGUUUGAAGCCUUCCACCACUAAAUACCACCUUGUACGAGCAAUAUUGGAGUCAAUAGCUUUCAGAAACAAGCAGUUAUAUGAGGUGAUGCAGAAAGAGAUCCAUAUUCCUAUAACAAAAAUCCGGGCAGAUGGAGGAGUUUGUAAGAACAGUUUUGUCAUGCAGAUGACUUCGGACCUGAUCAAUGAGACUAUAGACAGACCUGUUCAUGUUGAUAUGUCGUGCAUUGGUGCAGCUUCUCUAGCGGGCCUUGCGGUUGGGUUUUGGACUGACAAGGAGGAACUAAAGAAACUGAGGCAAAGUGAUAUGGUUUUCACGCCACAGAAGAAAUACCAAGAAUAUGAAAUGAGCAUGGGAAACUGGGUCAAAGCAGUAAAACGCUCCAUGAAUUGGUAUAACAAGACAUAACACUAAUGGAAGGAUGGAAACCACGGAUGGCAGGUUGCUGUGAUGUACAGAUGAGACAAAGCUCAGGGACGACAAUAACGACGAUGACUGAGAGCAGAUUUAAACUGAGCUUUGCAACCUGAGAGAAAAAGCACUGCUUUUUUGAAAACACAACAAAACAAAAAAACCCUCAUUUAAAAAACAGCUAAACCUUGCUUUGGAUCCUCAUAGCUAUAAAUAUUUUGGCAUCAGCAUCUAUUCUGAGUCACUGGCUAUUUUGUCACCAUAUUCCCACGGGACUCUUGUCCCUGAAAGGAUGCAGGAAUGAUCUUGGAAAUACGAACCAUAGAGGCAGGAACCUGCAGAAUCAGAUGUUUCUGAAAUUCUCUGUUAAUUCUAUUUCUACUGUCUUUCCUUCCACUUUGCAUUAAAUUUGGCUUAUUGAAAUGAAAUAGCUGUAUCUGUAGAGAUAUCUCUAUUAUUUAGAAAAUAAAUAAGGUUUCCAAUUUAAAUGAGCCAUAUCUUUACAAGAAACUGCCAAACUGUUUUCUAGAGUAGCUGUACCAUUUUACAUUCCCACCAGCAACGUAUGAAUGAUCCAGUUUCUCUGCAUUCUCACCAGCAUUUGAUGUUAUCCUCAUUUUUCACUUUGGCCACUGUGAUAAAUGUAUGGCUUUCUCAUUGAGGAUUUAGUUCGCUUUUCUUAAUUAAUAAUGAUGCUGAUCUUUUCAUGGGCUCUUUUGCCGUCUGUUUAUCCUCCAGUGACAUGUUUGUCUGUUUGCUAAUUGGGUUGUUAGCUAAAUGAGCCAUAUCUUUAAAGAGUAUCUUUUUUAAAAACUCUAAAAAAAGUCAGCCCAGUGACUUAAGUCAUUAAGUAGCAUUUUCGAAUCCUUCUGGGCAAAAUGUAUAUGGCAUUUGAACAUGAUUUUGUAAUGUACUGAGCAGAAGAGCUCUCACAUUCCUUCUGUACUCAUUAUAUAGUGCAGGACGAAUACUGGAUAAUAGCAAAAAAGUUUCAAAGAUACUUUUACUUCAAACGUUAAGCAAAGCGAACAAAUAUAUGUUUUGUACAUAGCUAUCAUAAUGCCUCUGAUACUUUUUAUUUAAAAUAAAGUGAUUUGUAUAAAUGUUUCAGAGUGAUUUUGUGGAAAAUUAAUUCAAAAACUUACUGUUUGUAUAAGACAGCUGAUGCAGAUUCCAGUUUGUAUGCAUCAGAAAAUUUAUAAUCUUAUUUCUCUGAUGUUCUUUACAAAUUUCAGCUUUAUUAAAUAGUCAUUGAGAAGCUCAUAAAUCAUUGUUCAGAUCUAUAAACUCUAAGAUGCAGAAUAAAAGGAAUAUUUUUCAUGUGUAUGUGAAUUCCCCCCUUUUUGUCUAUUUUACCUUUUGGAUUUGUUUUUGGAUUUUACCUGGAAAUUCUCAUUUAAUGCUAUGUCCUGUUUUGGUUUGUGCACAUUAAGAACAUCACAGAGAAAUAAGCCUAUGUUAAUUGCCAUUGUGACUCUCAAGAUAAAUUUGGGUUUGUGUUUCCCUUUUAACUGGAAUUUAAAAAAUGAGGCUUAAUAUGUUUUGAGAAAAGGUUUUCUUCUGUCUCUUUAGAUCCUGUUUAAGCAUAUUCUAUAUUCUACAUUCUUGCACAAAGGAAAUCACUAGAGAAAAGAGUUUAGUUGUUUUCAGUGGCAAGAUGAUAUAGUCUGCUGUGAAAAUAUAUUGUAUAUUUAAAUGUGUAGCAAAUUUUUAAAUAACUGGAGGAAACAAUUUCAAACACUAAUACAAUGGAAUUAACCUGGCAGUUGUUAAAAAUCCGUUGUGAAAAUUAUCAUUAAAAUCAUUUGGGAAACUUCAGUGAAACAGUGGAUGAUUGAUCUAGUGAUACAAAUGGUGUAUUAAAGCCAUUUUGAUGUAGUGUU